CCUAGGUAGCACAGAAGUCUGGUGUGACUUUUAUCCACACACCAGGUGCCAAUGGAGUCCUGAUGAGGAAAUGAUAUUAGCUGGACGCAGCUCUGGCCUGGUUGGAGUGUCGCCACCGUGUCGUCUCUCCACAGCUGACUGGCCAGUGCUCUGCUGGGAUCUCCCCGUGUUGAGAUUGGGUCCGGAGGUAGCUGCUCCUUCGCCUUCUGUUCUGUCUCCCUCUACGGUGGCUUCUACCUAGGGUUCAGAUCUUUAGAGCUGCCCCCAUUGGACCUCAAAGGUGUCUGAGACUCCGGGCCCCUUCAUCAGCCACGGUGGAUUCUACGGCUGGCUCGGGUCCACCGUGCCCCUCCUCCAAUCGGUCAUCGAGGGGUCUUCUAAACCAUUUGAGGCGAAAGACUGUCCGGACCUCCUAAGCCAUUUCACAAGCUGUCAUCACCGACAGCUAUAUAAUAAGAAACAUCUUGGUUCCCAGGGCAAAAACCCUGUACUCUCCUGGAGCACGAGUACAGGAUAUUACACGGCUGCUUCCUGCCGUUCUACAACAGCUGCCGGGGGACCUUAUACAGACAGGUGUGCGCCUUUACAAAUCAAGUCCAAUCAAUUGAAUUUACCACAGGUGGAGUCCAAUAAAGUUGUAGAA